GAUGAAGAACGUAGCGAAAUGCGAUAAGUAAUGUGAAUUGCAGAAUUCAGUGAAUCAUCGAGUCUUUGAACGCACAUUGCGCCCCCUGGUAUUCCGGGGGGCAUGCCUGUCCGAUCGUCAUUGCUGCCCUCAAGCACGGCUUGUGUGUUGGGCCCCCGUCCCCGGUUUCCCCCGGGGACGGGCCCGAAAGGCAGCGGCGGCACCGCGUCCGGUCCUCGAGCGUAUGGGGCUUUGUCACCCGCUCUGUAGGCCCGGCCGGCGCCAGCCGACACCCAACUUUAUUUCUAAGGUUGACCUCGGAUCAGGUAGGGAUACCCGCUGAACUUAAGCAUAUCAAUAAGCGGAGGA
rnacentral:misc_RNA from 1 species